UAGCUUUGUCCUAAGUCAAACUUAUCUAGCUUUGACGAAAGUUAUAGAAAAAUAUAUUAAAAUCUACAAGACAAUAUCAAACAAAUGCACAAGCAAUAUAUAUUACAUGGUUUAUCUAAUGAAAGUAGUUUCAUGUUAUAGAUAUUUGUGCAUUUUUCUAUAAAUUGGUCAAAGAUAGAGAAGUUUGACUUAGGACAAAGCUAG
rnacentral:pre_miRNA from 1 species